AAAUAAACUGGUGGAGUUACGAUGGUUAAUCCUUUACUGACAAGUAUUUUGCAUAAAUGAGCUUUCAAAAGGCAUCGGAAAGGACCACAUCCUGGAUCUGUGUACAAUUUGGAGCGAAGACUGGAAGUGAUGAUGUUCCAAGUUCCUACUACCUUUCUCCUUCCAGCAGAUGCAGUUUUGGGAAGGACUGUCAAAGAAACCUUGUUUAUUUCAGCAGCUUGCUAUCUUGUGAACUAAUCACUCAUGCCAUGGAAUCAAAAGCCUUGUUGAAAUCGAGCCAAAUUAUAAGAUUACAGCUGUCAAAUGAAGUCUGCCACAACCUUGAAGAAUUCUGCAUCAUUAUUAGACAAAAACCCUCCUGUGGGUUAUGUCGA